AUGCUGAGGGAGGUCCAGGUGCUGAGAGAACAGGCACAAAAGAGGACCAGGAAGGGGCAGGCCUGCCACAGGAGCCGGCCACAUGUGCCCAGCCUUUUCUUCCAUUUCAGAGAUUUCAUGGCAGUGUUCCUGCAAUGGGAACAGGCUGAAAAAUCUGAUCAUGCUCAAGCGGUCACCCAGUUCUCAUCUUGGGCUUUAUUGUGGGACUAUAAUUGGUGUCACUGGCCAGAAGGGCCAAGUGUGGAUAAACGAUGCAGGAAGAUGAGAAUUCUGUCUCAGCCAAGCAGUGAGCAAUUGUCAGUGCAUAUCGGAAAGGUGAACCCAAUGAAAGGCUUUGGGACAUCAAGCCCCACGUGCAAAAUAUGAACCUAUGGGAGAAACUAACUAGAAACAUGAAGUAAUCACUAUGUACAGUUCAGAUGCUAAAAAUAGGGCAAAACCGAGAGGAUAACACAUUUGUCUUCAGCAUUCCUUUCUUCACCUUCCUCCAUCCCUUCUUUACCAGGACUGGAGCCCUGCUUGCUUGGCUCUGACCCACCUGCCUGAAAGCUGGUCCCAUAAGUUCAUUUUCAUUAUGGGAAGAGAGAACCCCAAACACUUGGUAGUGCUUGAGUCAGAGGAAUGAAUGAUUAAUGGAGAAUUUAAAAGAUCCUUACUGUUUAUUUAUUUGAAUUUAACAUGGCCCAGGAUAUGGAGAGUGGGACUUAGUUACUACAGGCUGACUGCUGUUGGUUUCUUCUGUGUGCCUAGUUGGCCCAAAGAAAGGUGGCAGCCUGGACACUUGCAGAGACACUCUGGGCUGCCAAAUCAUGAGGGUGAGACUCUUUGAAUCCUUAACCAUUUUCAUUUCAUUUCCCAAAUCUUCAGUUCAACAUACUGGAGAUACCAACAUGGCUAAGACUCUUCUCUGUCCUUGAGGAUCUCAUGGUCAAUCUGGAAGCAGACAGAGAGCUACAUUUUCUAUGAAUGGUGCAGCAGGACUAACUCAAGAUAGGACAACCAUGGGAAGAAUAGAAAGGGGGACAACCAGAUGGAAAAGGACUAUAGGAGAGUCCUCUUCUCCAAGGUAUCCUGAGCCUGGCUUAGGAAAUUGUAAGUCCUGUCCAUCUGAGCCUCUAGAGCUUCACCCGGGUGGGAGGAUGGAAUAGGGCAGAAACCUAGCCGGUCCCCUUCACCUUUCUUGGGGGAGCAUUCUUUUGGGAAAGUCACCUUCCCUUCCCACAAGUUUCCCCUGCCACUUCACUACAUAAUCCUUAGGCUUCCUGUCCCUAAGGCCUGCUGUGAUUCUGUUGAAGGUCAAUUGACCCUCUCCUCGACAUUUGAACUAGAAUUCUUUAGGGAGGCACUGGGGCAUUUUAUCAAGAAUGUUCUAUACAAAGGCUGAGCAAUAACUGUGUUUGGGUAACAUUACC
rnacentral:lncRNA from 1 species